rnacentral:lncRNA from 1 species
GCUGAGCAUCGCGGGAACAAAGGGGAGGGAAACACGAUCCUCGCCCUGAGCGGCUCCCGGUCCCAGGGGGAGAAAACCCGAAAACUGCGCAAACAAGGGGCGGAGCCUGUGGGUGCGUGAAGGGAGACGCCCCCGCGCCCACAGGGACCCACAGGCCGCGUAGCUGGAGACGGAGAGAAGGGGGAGGGGCAAUUAGCAGAGGGAAGGUGCGGAACAAGGGGGGCGGGAAAGGGCCCCGCGGGAGCCGAUCUGCGGCGCUGUCCCCGAGAAGGAGUCCCGCGGAGGGAGACGGGCCCGCGGAGGGAGACGGACUCGCAGACGGAUACGGUCUAUGAAGGAAGAGGGACCGCGGAGGGAGACGGGCCCGCGGAGGGAGACGGGUCGGCGGAGGGAGACAAAAUGGCGGGCGGGUUGGGGGAGGGGACCGGGGAUAAGGGAGAAAAUGGCAGGAACAGACCCGGGAGGUAAAUGAAGGUUCCGCCACUGAUGACAUCCCGCCCUGACCCCUUUCCCUGACUCCCGGCGGGGCCUCCCUCCCCUCUGGGCCCGGCAGCAGGACGGGCGAGACGUUCGCUGGGGCGUGGCUGACGGGCGGAGCCGGCGCCACAUCCCCAGGUCCCUGGUCCCCAAAGCGCCCUGUCCCCGGGGCCCCUGCAGGGGGCGCCCCCACUCACCGAGGGAGCGGCGGGCGGAGGGAGCCCGGCGGCCAUUUCUCCCCCUCGGAGCCUCCUCGAG